GGGGCUGAUUCUGGAUUCGACGGGAUUUGCGAAACCCAAGGUGCAUGCCGAGGGGCGGUUGGCCUCGUAAAAAGCCGCAAAAAAUAGUCGCAAAGAGAGGUCAAACCCAAAAGAGAUCGCGUGGAUGCCCUGCCUGGGGUUGAAGCGUUAAAUCUAAUCAGGCUAGUUUGUUAGUGGCGUGUCUGUCCGCAGCUGGCAAGCGAAUGUAAAGACUGACUAAGCAUGUAGUGCCGAGGAUGUAGGAAUUUCGGACGCGGGUUCAACUCCCGCCAGCUCCACCA
rnacentral:tmRNA from 1 species